UGGGGGAUAUUGCACAAUGGGCGAAAGCCUGAUGUAGCGACGCCGCGUGGGGGAUGAAGGCCUUCGGGUUGUAAACUUCUUUUGCUCUGAACAAGGCGCACCAUGGGGUGUGUUGAGUGUAGGGGUUGAUUAGCGCCGGCUAACUACGUGCCAGCAGCCGCGGUAAUACGUAGGGCGCGAGCGUUGUCCGGAAUUAUUGGGCGUAAAGGGCUUGUAGGUGGCUGGUUGCGUCUGUCGUGAAAGCUCAUGGCUUAACUGUGGGUUUGCGGUGGGUACGGGCUGGCUUGAGGGCAGUAGGGGUGGCUGGAAUUCCUGGUGUAGCGGUGGAAUGCGCAGAUAUCAGGAGGAAUACCGGUGGCGAAGGCGGGUCUCUGGGCUGUUACUGACACUGAGGAGCGAAAGCAUGGGGAGCGAACAGG
rnacentral:rRNA from 1 species